GGAAGGUGAACCUUCCACAGCCUCCACCAUCCCUCCUUCCUCCAGCCUCUCUGCAACUCAACACCUGCUGGCCAGCAGGCGGCAGUGCACGGAUGAAAAUGCGCAUCUCUGCUGGAUUUCCCAGGACCUCCUGGAGUUCACAUGACUACUUUUUCUGGUAGCCUGAGUGCUCAGUUUGGAGAGGCGGGCUGCAGACACCAGGGACAGCGGGAUGUGGGAUGCAUUUCCCAAGCCUCUGUAAGUCCAACCCUGGUGGUGGCCCCAGAAGCCAGGCAGCUGGACUGGGAGGGCCGCCUGGAAGAUGGGGCACAUUCAAGACCUGUCGAAUGACUGUGAGCACUCCCGGGGGACUGAUGCCCUGCCGCCGUAGCUCUGUAGAGGUAACCCUCUUGGGCAAGGGAGAAAAGUGAGCUGCUCAAAGAAGAUGCUUCCAUCAGAUACAGGAAAGCAGACACUUUCCAUUCCUGCAGGAACGGGGCUCCAUCAAUGCGGGGAGCCCACGGAGGCCAAGCCAAUGGACUGCAUAUGGAACCCUCUGACUCCAUCGAAGGGGUGGGGGACAUGCUCCCCCACAUUGCCUUCCUUUGGAUUCCCCAUGCCCACCCUGCGGCAAGGGAUGACGAGCAACACUGUGGUCGGCUGCAGCGUCUCCCAAAUUCUCAGCUCACAAGGAUCUCUGGGUGCUUGUUCACAUUCACAUUCUCGUUCCAGGGGAGAGCUGGGACCAGUGUCUGGCAAGCACCCUAGGUGACUCUUAUGCUUAGGUCAGCUUGGGGCCAUGUCCACCUAGAAGAUGAAGGAAGAGAAGGAGCCUGGGGGCUUUAUGUCCACACAACCUAACCGGAGGCUGCCAAUGGAGACUCAGAGCCAGCCCGGGAAGGAAGGAGGUAGGUCUUGGUGGACAAUGAGCCAGUCUCAGUCCCACGGCCCCUGCCUGUCCUGGCACGCUCUCUCCCACCUCUUGCCAUGACCUGAGAGACCACGCUUGCCAAGGACUCUCAUGACCCCUGUGAUCAGGUAGCUUGCCUGAGGCCUCUUUUCCUAACCCACAGGGUGAUUGUGGUAGGAAGAAUAAUGGCCCCCACAGCUACCCCUGUCUGAAUCCCCAGGUCCUGGCAUAUGUUACUCUGCAGGGCAAAAGGGACUUUGCAGGUGUGAUCAGAUUAAGGACCUGGGGAUGGGGGGUUGUCCUGGAUUGCUCAGCUGGGCCCAAUCUAAUCACAAGAGUCCUUAUAAGAGGGAGUCAGGAGGGUCAGAGGAGUUGAGGACAUCACGCUGCUGGCUUUGAAGAUGGAGGAAGGAGCUGUGAGCCAAGGGAUAUGGCCUUUGUUGCCCCUAGAAGCUGGCACAGCCAGAGCCAAGGAAAUGUAUUGUCCCCCAGAGCCUUCAGGAGGAACCAGCGCUGCCAACACGUUUGUUAGAGACGCAGGAGCAUAGGAGAACCAGGGUGACACCAUUUUAAAAUCAACUCCAUCUUGCCUGGAUGCAAUGGCUCACGCCUGUAAUCCUAGCACUUUGGGAGGCUGAGGUGGGUGGAUCAUUUGAGGUCAGGAGUUCAAGGCUAGCCUGGCCAACAUGGUGAAACUCCCUCUCUACUAAAAAUACAAAAAUUAGUCGGGUGGUGGUGGUGUGUGCCUAUAAUCCCAGCUACUCUGGAGGCUGAGGCGGGAAAAUCCCUUGAGCCUGGGAGGUGGAGGUUGCAGUGAGCCGAGAUUGUGCCACUGCACUCCAGUUGGGGCAACAGAGUGAGACCCCGUCUCAAAAAUAAAUAAAUAUAAAUAAAAUCAACUCCAUCUUAAAACUAGCAAGGCACAUUCCUCGCCAGCCACAACCCAUGGUCCUAAGAUGUUUACAGCUGAGGAAGCAGCUUGGUAAUGCCUACAAAGACACACUCCACCAACAACAGAAAGUCCAGAUGUCCCGAUACCCUUAACAGUAUAGGCUUUCACAAGAAUUAUAGUUAUGCUCUGAUGUGCUGACGUAGGAAAAUGUCAAGGAUAGCUGUCUUUACAUCAGUAGAGUAAUAAAUGUCAUGCUGUCAGCCCACCAGUAGGUAGGCACAGCUUUGGUUUAGUCUUUACAGAGGAAGAUCCCUAUAUAAGAAAAACUUAAAGCAAAGAUGGUGUUCCUCUGCUUGCUUCCUGAGGGCAUUCUACUUUGUAACGCCGCAGUGUCUAAUAAACUUGCUUCUUUCUCUACA